UACGGAGGGUGCAAGCGUUGUUCGGAAUUAUUGGGCGUAAAGCGCGUGUAGGCGGAUAUGUAGGUCAGAUGUGAAAUCCCUCGGCUUAACUGAGGAAGAGCAACUGAAACCACAUGUCUUGAGUACGAUAGAGGAGAGUGGAAUUCCCAGUGUAGAGGUGAAAUUCAUAGAUAUUGGGAAGAACACCGGUGGCGAAGGCGGCUCUCUGGAUCGAUACUGACGCUGAGACGCGAAAGCGUGGGUAGCAAACAGGAUUAGAUACCCUGGUAGUCCACGCCGUAAACGAUGUGCACUAGGUGUUGGGAGUAAUUAAACUUUCAGUGCCGCAGUUAACGCAUUAAGUGCACCGCCUGGGGAUUACGGUCGCAAGAUUAAA
rnacentral:rRNA from 1 species